rnacentral:rRNA from 1 species
AGAGUUUGAUCCUGGCUCAGAACGAACGCUGGCGGCAGGCUUAACACAUGCAAGUCGAACGCGUGUAGCAAUACACGAGUGGCGCACGGGUGAGUAACGCGUGGAUAUCUGCCUUUUGGUUCGGAAUAACCCCGGGAAACUGGGGCUAAUACCGGAUGGUUCCUUCGGGAUAAAGAUUUAUCGCCAAAAGAUGAGUCCGCGUCCGAUUAGCUAGUUGGUGAGGUAAUGGCUCACCAAGGCGACGAUCGGUAGCUGGUCUGAGAGGACGAUCAGCCACACUGGGACUGAGACACGGCCCAGACUCCUACGGGAGGCAGCAGUGGGGAAUAUUGGACAAUGGGGGCAACCCUGAUCCAGCCAUGCCGCGUGAGUGAUGAAGGCCUUCGGGUUGUAAAGCUCUUUUGGCGGGGACGAUGAUGACGGUACCCGCAGAAUAAGCCC